rnacentral:rRNA from 1 species
GAGUAAUGUCUGGGAAACUGCCUGAUGGAGGGGGAUAACUACUGGAAACGGUGGCUAAUACCGCAUAACGUCGCAAGACCAAAGAGGGGGACCUUCGGGCCUCUUGCCAUCAGAUGUGCCCAGAUGGGAUUAGCUUGUUGGUGAGGUAACGGCUCACCAAGGCGACGAUCCCUAGCUGGUCUGAGAGGAUGACCAGCCACACUGGAACUGAGACACGGUCCAGACUCCUACGGGAGGCAGCAGUGGGGAAUAUUGCACAAUGGGCGCAAGCCUGAUGCAGCCAUGCCGCGUGUAUGAAGAAGGCCUUCGGGUUGUAAAGUACUUUCAGCGGGGAGGAAGGUGUUGUGGUUAAUAACCGCAGCAAUUGACGUUACCCGCAGAAGAAGCACCGGCUAACUCCGUGCCAGCAGCCGCGGUAAUACGGAGGGUGCAAGCGUUAAUCGGAAUUACUGGGCGUAAAGCGCACGCAGGCGGUCUGUCAAGUCGGAUGUGAAAUCCCCGGGCUCAACCUGGGAACUGCAUUCGAAACUGGCAGGCUUGAGUCUUGUAGAGGGGGGUAGAAUUCCAGGUGUAGCGGUGAAAUGCG